UACGGAGGGGGCGAGCGUUGUCCGAAGUUACUGGGCGUAAAGGGCGCGUAGGCGGUUCGUCAAGUCCUGUGUGAAAUCCCCCGGCUCAACUGGGGAACUGCACAGGAAACUAGCGGGCUUGAGUUCGGGAGAGGGAAGCGGAAUUCCGGGUGUAGCGGUGAAAUGCGUAGAUAUCCGGAGGAACACCGGUGGCGAAGGCGGCUUCCUGGACCGACACUGACGCUGAGGCGCGAAAGCUAGGGGAGCAAACGGG
rnacentral:rRNA from 1 species